rnacentral:rRNA from 1 species
CUCCGUAGGUGAACCUGCGGAGGGAUCAUUACUGAGCGAGGGCCCCGGGCCCGACCUCCAACCCUUUGUGAACACAUCUCGUUGCUUCGGUUGCGACCCUGCCGUUCCGACGGCGGGCGCCCCCGGAGGCCCUCCCACCCUGCAUCUCUGCGUCGGAGUUCGAGUAAAUUGAACAAAACUUUCAACAACGGAUCUCUUGGUUCUGGCAUCGAUGAAGAACGCAGCGAAAUGCGAUAAGUAAUGUGAAUUGCAGAAUUCAGUGAAUCAUCGAAUCUUUGAACGCACAUUGCGCCCUCUGGUAUUCCGGAGGGCAUGCCUGUUCGAGCGUCAUGUCACCACUCAAGCUUGGCUUGGUGUUGGGCGCCGCGGUCCCGCCGCGCGCCUCAAAGUCCCCCGGCUGAGCCGUCCGCCUCCAAGCGUCGUGAUUUCAUUAAUCGCUUCGGGGCGCGGGCGGCCGCGGCCGUUAAAUCUCGUCACUGGUUGACCUCGGAUCAGGUAGGGAUACCCGCUGAAC